CCUACGGGAGGCAGCAGUGAGGAAUAUUGGUCAAUGGACGAGAGUCUGAACCAGCCAAGUAGCGUGAAGGAUGACUGCCCUAUGGGUUGUAAACUUCUUUUAUAUGGGAAUAAAAUGUUCCACGUGUGGGAUUUUGUAUGUACCAUAUGAAUAAGGAUCGGCUAACUCCGUGCCAGCAGCCGCGGUAAUACGGAGGAUCCGAGCGUUAUCCGGAUUUAUUGGGGUUAACGGGAGCGUAGGUGGAUUGUUAAGUCAGUUGUGAAAGUUUGCGGCUCAACCGUAAAAAUGCAGUUGAAACUGGCAGUCUUGAGUACAGUAGAGGUGGGCGGAAUUCGUGGUGUAGCGGUGAAAUGCUUAGAUAUCACGAAGAACUCCGAUUGCGAAGGCAGUUCACUGGACUGCAACUGACACUGAGGCUCGAAAGUGUGGGUAUCAAACAGGAUUAGAUACCCUUGUAGUC
rnacentral:rRNA from 1 species